rnacentral:lncRNA from 1 species
CCAGGUCUUGGGGCCACUUCUGCCCAUCUUGGGGGCACAUCUGACCAGGUCCUGGGGGCACAUCCGACCAGGUCCUGGGGGCACAUCCGCCCGUCUUGGGGCACAUCCGACCUGGUCCUGGGGGCACAUCCGACCAGGUCCUGGGGGCACAUCCGACCAGGUCCUGGGGGCACAUCCGCCCGUCUUGGGGCACAUCCGACCAGGUCCUGGGGGCACAUCCGACCAGGUCCUGGGGGCACAUCCGCCCGUCUUGGGGCACAUCCGACCAGGUCCUGGGGGCACAUCCGACCAGGUCCUGGGGGCACAUCCGCCCGUCUUGGGGCACAUCCGCCCGUCUUGGGGCACAUCCGCCCGUCUUGGGGGCACAUCCCGGCGGCGCCCAGGGGUCAGCCCCGCCCCCCCGUCGUCAGCUUUCCCCUCCUCCCUCACCCCCCCCCCCCCCGCCCCCCCGGGCGCCCACUCCCCUCCCCCUCUGCCCCGCCUUCCCGCGAUAGCCCCGCCCCCCCGUCGUCAGCUUUCCCCUCCUCCCUCACCCCCCCCCCCCCGCCCCCGACAGCGGCUGGACGUGAGGCGGGGGGCGCGGUCCCCGGGGUCGUCUUGCUGAGGGUCGUGCCUCGCCGAGCGCCGGGGAUGAUGCUGGAGAGAAGCGGCGCGACCCCGCGGCCCGGCCCACGCGCUGGUACCUGCUUCCCGGGCCGCUCCCAGAGGCUGCGCCGUGGGAGCCGCGGCAGCACGUGGCGCCUCAGGAACGUGAAGGUUCUGGAAGGCUCUGGAAGGUUCUCGCGCGCCACGGGAGGCCGCCUUCGACAGGCCGCGCCGCCCGGAGGCGGGUUCACAAAGGGAGCUCGGCCGAACCCUCUCACAGGCUCGCGUGCCGGGCCGGCCGCCCUCGCCGCCCGCUACGCGCCCCUCGGCUUCGCGCCCGCGCGCCCUCCAGGCGCCCGUCAGUCACUCUGCCUCUCGUGCGCGCGCGCGCGCCCGCCUGCCCGCCCGGCUCCUGUCCGUCAACCGCGCGCUCCCGCCCAGCCAGGCGGAAGGGGCGGGGCCCGGGGCGGGUGCGUGCGCCCCAUUGGUCGGCGGCGGGGGUGGAGCUUGGCGGCGCCGCCAGGCCGGCCCCGCCCCCCGGCCCGCGGGGAGCGGCGGCUGCGGCGGCGGAGGCGGUGAGCGCGGGCUCGGGUGGGGAGGCUCGGGUGCCGACGCCGUUGGGCCGCCACGGCCUCCUCGCUCUCCGCUCGGGGCUCGGGGCCACCGCGCUGGGGAGGCCGGCCGCCCGGUGAGCCCCGCGGCCCGCGGUUGGCGGGCGGGGGCUGAGGCGGCCGGGCCGGGCCUGCGGGGGGAGGAGCGAACCCCCAAAGGAGGCCCUCCCCGGGGCGUUGAGCGCGGGGGGAGGGGGCCGCCGCUUUCGCCCCUUCCUCUGUCCACCGCGGCCCCUCGUCGGCUGCGUGCGCCCCCGUCCCUCCCCGGGUCCCCGUCUGCAACCGCCUUCGCCCGCCGCCUGCGCCCCUCUGUGCGCGAACGAGCCCCCCUCUGCUCUCCGUGCGUAGCCAGGCCUGUGUGUCCCCUGCGGUGACGAGCGGCCCGCAGCUGUCCCCGUCCUUCCAGGGCCAGAGCAGGCGAAAAGAGCGGCCGUUUCCUCCCAUUUUAUUUUUUUUGCAACUGGGGGCAACUGUUCACUCCCCAAACGGGGGAGGGUUGUAAGCUUUGUUUAAAUCGCUUUCCGUGCGAAGGUGGGAGGCAGGCCUUCAGCACGCAGAAGAGUUGCUCGGGAGCCUCUUAGGCGGGAGCCAGACAGACCCUGGGGGUGGGGGGCGGCGGCUGCAUUUGAUUUCCAAGGGAAGGGCGGGCGCCUCCCCGGGUCCCCAGGCCAGCCGUUUCUUCUUGACGCUGAGCAUCUCCGCGCAAGAUUACAGGAGUGACCCUCUUAAGCCCCAGUGACCCUUGCCCUUGAGGGUCCCGUCUGUGCUAACGUGGCCAGCUAUCGCUUCAUGAACCA